rnacentral:rRNA from 1 species
GAUGAACGCUGGCGGCGUGCCUAAUACAUGCAAGUCGAGCGAACGGACGAGAAGCUUGCUUCUCUGAUGUUAGCGGCGGACGGGUGAGUAACACGUGGAUAACCUACCUAUAAGACUGGGAUAACUUCGGGAAACCGGAGCUAAUACCGGAUGAUAUUUUGAACCGCAUGGUUCAAAAGUGAAAGACGGUCUUGCUGUCACUUAUAGAUGGAUCCGCGCUGCAUUAGCUAGUUGGUAAGGUAACGGCUUACCAAGGCAACGAUGCAUAGCCGACCUGAGAGGGUGAUCGGCCACACUGGAACUGAGACACGGUCCAGACUCCUACGGGAGGCAGCAGUAGGGAAUCUUCCGCAAUGGGCGAAAGCCUGACGGAGCAACGUCGCGUGAGUGAUGAAGGUCUUCGGAUCGUAAAACUCUGUUAUUAGGGAAGAACAUAUGUGUAAGUAACUGUGCACAUCUUGACGGUACCUAAUCAGAAAGCCACGGCUAACUACGUG